rnacentral:rRNA from 2 species
UUUUUGUAUUUAAUAUAAAGUCUAAUCUGCCCACUGAUAAUUUAUUAAAGGGCUGCAGUAUUUUGACUGUACAAAGGUAGCAUAAUCAUUUGUCUCUUAAUUGGUGACUAGUAUGAAAGAUUGGAUGAAAUAUAGACUGUCUCAUUAUAAUGAAUAAAAUUUAAUUUUUUAGUAAAAAAGCUAAAAUAGUUUUAAAAGACGAGAAGACCCUAUAGAGUUUAAUAAUUAUUUUUAUAUAGAAUAAAAUAUAAAAAUUUAAAUUUAAAUGAAAGUAAUUAUUUUGUUGGGGUGAUAGAAAAAUUAAAUUAACUUUUUUUAAAGAUAUACAUUAAUAAAUGAAUAAAUGAUCCAUUAAUAAUGAUUAUAAGAAAAAAUUACCUUAGGGAUAACAGCGUAAUUUUUUUUUUUAGGCCAAAUAAGAAAAAGAGUUUGCGACCUCGAUGUUGGAUUAAGAUAAAAUUUAAAUGUAAAAGUUUAAAAUUUUGAUCUGUUCGAUCAUUAAAA